AACAAACUGUUUUCCACACCGUGUGAAAUCCUGCAAUUGUCCUGCUUCCUCCUUUCUGGCGGUUCUUCCCACAGCAGCAGGUUGCUUCCUCUCAUGCAUGUACAGGUUUGGGCCUCAGGGGUCUCUACUUACUGGCUUACAUGUUCAACAAAAUCUCUCCCUUCCUCCUCGAGAGAACUUGGGUAAUGCCAGUUCUGGGUGACCGCUCCAAAUUGUCAGUCUUACAGCUUCCUGGAACGUGUAUGCCAAAUAUAUGAUGAAAGGUGAGACCACGAGGAAGAAUGCUGAACACACUCCGAUAAUUGGUAUUUCUCUCCAUCUGUCACAUUAAAUUUAUUUUUCUCUUUU